GUAAUACUCCCUCUGUCCGGAAAUACUCGUCAUUGAAAUGGAUGUAUCUAGAUGUAUUUUAGUUCUAGAUACAUCCAUUUUCAUCCAUUUUGAUGACAAGUAAUUCUGGACGGAGGGAGUAUCAA
rnacentral:pre_miRNA from 1 species